rnacentral:rRNA from 1 species
CCUACGGGUGGCAGCAGUGGGGAAUAUUGCACAAUGGGCGGAAGCCUGAUGCAGCAACGCCGCGUGGGUGAAGAAGUCCUUCGGAAUGUAAAGCUCUGUUAGCAGGGAAGAAAAUGACGGUACGUGAACAAUAAGCCCCGGCCAAUUACGUGCCAGCAGCCGCGGUAAUACGCAGGGGGCAAGCGUUAACCGGAUUUACGGGGGGUAAAGGGAGCGUAGACGGCUAGGCAAGUCUGGAGCGAAAGCCCGUGGCCUAACCACGGGACUGCUUUGGAUACUGGGUUGCUGGAGUGCAGGAGAGGUAAGCGGAAUUCCUGGUGUAGCGGUGAAAUGCGUAGAUAUUAGGAAGAACACCGGUGGCGAAGGCAGCUUACUGGACUGUAACUGACGUUGAGGCUCGAAGGCGUGGGGAGCAAACAGGAUUAGAUACCCGUGUAGUC